rnacentral:tRNA from 1 species
GGCAGUAUGGUCGAGUGGCUUAGGCAGAGGUCUGCAAAACCUUGUACAUCGGUUCGAUUCCGAUUACUGCCUCCA